UACAGAGGGUGCAAGCGUUGUUCGGAAUUAUUGGGCGUAAAGGGAGUGUAGGCGGUUUGGUAAGUCUUCUGUGAAAUCUACGGGCUUAGCCUGUAAAGUGCAGAGGAAACUGUCAAACUUGAGUGUCGGAGAGGAUAGGGGAAUACCCGGUGUAGAGGUGAAAUUCGUAGAGAUCGGGUGGAACACCAGUGGCGAAGGCGCCUGUCUGGCUGACAACUGACGCUGAGACUCGAAAGCAUGGGGAGCAAACAGG
rnacentral:rRNA from 1 species